AGAGUUUGAUCCUGGCUCAGGAUGAACGCUAGCUACAGGCUUAACACAUGCAAGUCGAGGGGAAACGACAUCGAAAGCUUGCUUUUGAUGAGCGUCGACCGGCGCACGGGUGAGUAACGCGUAUCCAACCUGCCCAUCACUUGGGGAUAACCUUGCGAAAGUAAGACUAAUACCCAAUGACGUCUCUAGAAGACAUCUGAAAGAGAUUAAAGAUUUAUCGGUGAUGGAUGGGGAUGCGUCUGAUUAGCUUGUUGGCGGGGUAACGGCCACCAAGGCGACGAUCAGUAGGGGUUCUGAGAGGAACGGUCCCCCANAUUGGAACUGAGACACGGUCCAAACUCCUACGGGAGGCA
rnacentral:rRNA from 1 species